rnacentral:rRNA from 1 species
AGCUCUGUAAGCGUAUACCAAAGUUGUUGCAGUUAAAACGCUCGUAGUCGGAACUUGGUAGGUGACGCAGGGUGUCUUUGCGGACAGAUCUGUAUCAACUGCCUUUGUGGAGGGGGGCUUAGUGGAGCUUUAUUGCCUCACUAAGUCGCUGCCACCGUUUACUGUGAAAAAAUUGGAGUGUUCAAAGCAGGCGUUUGCCUUGUACACAUUAGCAUGGAAUAAUAGAAUAGGACCUGGUUCUGUUUUGUUGGUUUGUGAGAAUUAGGUAAUGAUUAAGAGGGACGGUUGGGGGCAUUUGUAUUCUGCCGUCAGAGGUGAAAUUCUUAGAUUGGCGGAAGACAAACAGCUGCGAAAGCGUCUGCCAAGGACGUUUUCAU